GCCCCAUGUGUCCUCAGACGGCAUCAGACGAGGACGAAAGAUUUAUCGGAAGUGGAUGGGGAUGCGCCUGAUUAGGCAGUUGGCGGGGCAACGGCCCACCAAGCCGACGAUCAGUAGGGGUUCUGAGAGGAAGGUCCCCCACAUUGGAACUGAGACACGGUCCAAACUCCUACGGGAGGCAGCAGUGAGGAAUAUUGGUCAAUGGGCGAGAGCCUGAACCAGCCAAGUAGCGUGCAGGACGACGGCCCUAUGGGUUGUAAACUGCUUUUGCGCGGGGAUAAAGUGCGCCAUGUGUGGCUCAUUGCAGGUACCGCGCGAAUAAGGACCGGCUAAUUCCGUGCCAGCAGCCGCGGUAAUACGGAAGGUCCAGGCGUUAUCCGGAUUCAUUGGGUUUAAAGGGAGCGCAGGCCGCCCCUUAAGCGUGUUGUGAAAUGCCGCGGCUCAACCGUGGCACUGCAGCGCGAACUGGGGGGCUUGAGUGCGCGCAGCGCAGGCGGAACUCGUGGUGUAGCGGUGAAAUGCUUAGAUAUCACGAAGAACUCCGAUCGCGAAGGCAGCCUGCGGGAGCGCAACUGACGCUGAGGCUCGAAAGUGCGGGUAUCGAACAGGAUUAGAUACCCUGGUAGUCCGCACGGUAAA
rnacentral:rRNA from 1 species